CCAAUAGCGUAUAUUAAAGUUGUUGCAGUUAAAAAGCUCGUAGUUGAAUUUCGGGAUCAGUACGCUGGUCGUGCCUUCGGUAUGUACUGGUGUUACUGGUUCCUACCUUCUGACGAACCAUCAUGUCAUUAAUUUGGUGUGGCGGGGAAUCAGGACUGUUACUUUGAAAAAAUUAGAGUGUUUAAAGCAGGCUCGCGCUUGAAUACAUUAGCAUGGAAUAAUGAAAUAGGACGUUUGAUCCUAUUUUGUUGGUUUCUAGGAUUGACGUAAUGAUUAAUAGGGAUAGUUGGGGGCAUUAGUAUUCAAUUGUCAGAGGUGAAAUUCUUGGAUUUAUUGAAGACUAACUACUGCGAAAGCAUUUGCCAAGGAUGUUUUCAUUAAUCAAGAACGAAAGUUAGGGGAUCGAAGACGAUCAGAUACCGUCGUAGUCUUAACCAUAAACUAUGCCGACUAGGGAUCGGAUGAUGUUAAUUUUUUAAUGACUCAUUCGGCGCCUUACG
rnacentral:rRNA from 1 species